rnacentral:rRNA from 1 species
GACGAACGCUGGCGGCGUGCUUAACACAUGCAAGUCGAACGGAAAGGCCCUGCUUUUGUGGGGUGCUCGAGUGGCGAACGGGUGAGUAACACGUGAGUAACCUGCCCUUGACUUUGGGAUAACUUCAGGAAACUGGGGCUUAUACCGGAUAGGAGCUCCUGCUGCAUGGUGGGGGUUGGAAAGUUUCGGCGGUUGGGGAUGGACUCGCGGCUUAUCAGCUUGUUGGUGGGGUAGUGGCUUACCAGGGCUUUGACGGGUAGCCGGCCUGAGAGGGUGACCGGACACAUUGGGACGGAGAUACGGCCCAGACCCCUACGGGAGGCAGCGGUGGGGAAGAGAGCACAAUGGGCGGAGGGCUGACGCAGCAACGCCGCGUGCGGGAAGACGGCCUGCGGGUUGGAAUCCGCUUUCGCCUGUGACGAAGCGUGAGUGACGGUAAUGGGUAAAGAAGCACCGGCUAACUACGUG